ACAGUUUGCUUGGGAGCACAUUGGUGGCCUGUUGUUAUGGUCCUAGAAAAAAGGCAAGGGUGUUUGAGGAAGUUAGUCCUGGAAGGAAUCCUUUCCGUGGGGCAGUGACCUGUGUUGUAAUAAGGAAAGCAGAGGGAAGAGUUGAGGGUUAAUAUGCUUUGGACGGCGGAGGAAAAAAAUACCAUGUUACAUUGGUGGCUGGUACUCGGUUUUUGAUCUUCCUCUGCCUCCACGGUCUGACGCCCGGCCUCGUGCCUCUGCCGCACCGACGUCUACACCAUCCAACCACCACCACCUGCUGGCUGCUGUGGGACUCAGGGCGCCCAGCACUCCGGCAGGCUUCCCCAUCGCCAUGACGCCCUGCUUACAGCUGCCCGCCAAGGAGAGCGUCCUCUUCAAGCAUGUGCUGCCCUAAAAACAAGAAACUUGGCGGUCAGAAGCAGAUAUUCUAGAAGGGUUGUAUCUUGAGAAGAUGGAGGUCAGCUGCCACACCCCUCCGAGGCUCUGAGGACACUGCAGAAGGUGGUGGGGAGAACACAAGAGCCAGAGGAUGGAGAGGAGCAGUGUGUGACACAUGCACGGAUGUCGUACUUGUGACCUCACGGCAUCUGUGUCUACCACACGAGACCUUCUGGAGUUAGGAUGUGCCAGCAUUCCAUGGUGGAUCCAAGAGGGGCUUAUGAGGUCUCUCUUCUCCCCGAGGAGCUGUGUGACAGGUGCGAGGUCACCCACACGAAGAGUUGUCAAAGAAACAUCAAAGAUUCUCUGACCCGGAGCUCCAAAAUCUCUCCACCUGACUCGCUAAGUUCCCAUGGUGGGUCACUGCCACGCCAGCUCCAUGCAUCCAAAUUUACACGGCUAGCUGGGGUGCACUUCUUGCAAACUCACACUCUGCUGCCAUACAUUUUUCUCUGGAACCCAGAACAGAUGCCUCAUGAAGGAAAACAUCGCGACAUCUUAUUUUAGAAUCAACAGAUAACUCAAUUAUUGGACACAGCAACAAUCGUCCUAUUUGUAAGCCAUUCUAAGUUAAAUCCUCCAGUGGUGAAUCCUGGCAGACCCGACAUCUAAACCAGGGGCCUCUUGUUUGCUUCACCUUCCUUCAAGCUCUCCUGGUCCAAAUCAAGUCACCCUUUCCUGCCUCCUCUUUUCCCUCGUCCAACCCGGAAGUCCUGCCUACUUCUCACCCAGUGAUUGGUCCCCUGAAAUCUUUAUUUAUUAGGGGAAGGUUCUGCCACAUAGACCAAAGACAUAGAAUCAAAUACCCAAUAUAUCCACACGGCUACAUCCACCUGAUCAUGUAGAACAAUGACAUAGAAUCAGAUACCUGCAACUAAUUCCACAAAGGGUCACCCACCUGAUUUUCCUGAAGUGAUCCAACAGUAGACACCGAGAAAGGACCUUCGGCAAAUGGUGCCAUGGACACUGGGUAGCCAAGCUUGAGAGAGUGAUACUAGAUCCAUAUCUGUCACCUUGUACACAGCCAAUUCAAAAUGUCAGACCUGAAACUGCCAGAGAAAAGCACAGGAAAAAAUGCCUCAUUAUAUAGGCAUGAGCAAGGACUUUCUGAGAAGGACUCUAAGAACUGACAAAUGGAAUGACAUUAAAUUAAAAGGCUUCCGUACAACCCAGGCGACAACAGUGAAGAGAGAUUCCAUAAAGUGGAAGAAAUCUUUGACAAGUAAACACCUCAUAGAGAGCUAAUAUCUAGAAUACAUGAAGGAAUGAAAAAUUGGACACCCCAAAUGAUCUAAUUAGUAAAUGAGCAAAUGAAACAAACUGAUAGUUUUAAUACAAAUUCUCAACUAAUAUUUUUCAAGAAGUUCAACAUUCUUAGUCACAGAGAAGUGCAAAUCAAAACUUCUUGGUAUCCCAUUUCACCCUUCAGAGUGGCAGCCCUGAGGACGACGAACAACAGAUGCUGGUGAGGGGAGAGGAAACGGAAACUCUUAUACACUUCGGUGGGCGAGUAAAUUAUUCUGGCUUUCUGGAAAUCAGUGUAGAGAUUUAUCAAAGGUUAAAAAUAGAACAACCAUAUGUGUGACUCCACUCUGGGACUACGUCCGUAAAAUAACCCCAGGUCAGCAUACGACAGAGACACCUACAAGCUGUGUUUACCGUGACAAUAUUUACAAUGGCCUAGUUAUGAAAUCAGCGUAGGCAUCCAAUGACAGAUAGUUCAUGCACACAAUGGAGUUUUGUUCAGCCAUAGAGAAGAAUAAAAUUACAGCAUUUGUAUGAAAACAGCUAGAACUGGGGGUCCUCAUAUUAAAUCAAAUAAGGCAGAACCAGAUUGUGUGUGUUCAUUUAUACAUUAACACAUAUAGCAUGAAAGUAUCAGGGUGAUUGCCUGGGACAGAGAGGGAACUAUUUGGGGUGGGGAGGAGAGGAUGAGGUAAGAGGACAUAUACGUGUGACAAUGUAGUCAAAGUGUUGAUGUGUAUAAAAGUGUUUUUUCAGUGCUCAUCACCAUGUAUGAUAAAUACACAUCACUAAAAUGUAAGCUUGAUUUAUUCUUUAUUUUACUUAAUCCUUUUAACUAAGAUAACAUCCAGUUUACCUGGUUGCUUUCUAUUUAAGCUUAAAGUAUUUGAAUGCAUAUGUUUUUGUGUCUACUGUGGCAGCAAGCUAAUCUAUUCAAAAUCAGGUCACCAAUAUAAAAAGAUCGAUCAAUAAAAGCUUUUGAAUUUUGUACAAGCCAAACUGGGUUAAAAGUUUUAAAAUUUAUUAUAUUUAUUUAUAGAUUUUAUCAGUAUCUCAAAUGAUACUUAAAAUACCAUCAUUUUACAUAUAACCAUAUAUGCACAUAUUCUUAGUUUAUAACUAAAUUUUUAUAUUUUUAUAUUUUUUUGUAUGAAGUCUCUCUAAAAUGGCUUCAAUAAAUCCUAGACGACAUGGUUUCUCUAUUAUUCCACUUGAAAUUACCAGUUAGGUCAUGAUUUUCUGUGAUAAAGUCUAGGACCACUAUAAAAUGUUGUACAGUUUUUAUUUCCUUAGAUCCAUUUUGAGCUAAGUGAUUCAUAUAAUUUUGGAUUAAUGAUGCCUAAUAAUUACAUGCAUUUUAUCUUUUACUUCUUUCUGUUUUUUUAAGUGCAUUUUAGUUUUGGGGGCAGAGUUUCACAUUGUAGUGCAAACGGGCCUUGAAUUUAUUGCCUUUACCCUGUCUUAGCCUCAGGUGAUGGGAUUAUGGCUGUGAUUAUGCCCAACUAAACUCAUGUUUAUUUAUGUGGAGAUUUCUUGACAAAUUCAAGAUUUCAGGACCCAAGCAACCGAAAAUAAAGAAUAGCACAUAAUUUUUAAUUCAUUAAAAUGCUUUUGGGCUACAGAAAGUACAGAGUACAAGUAUAUAUUUCUUUAUAUUUUUUCCUCAGAAUAAAUCUUAUUAAAAGCUGCCAAUCCCACAGAAGGUAUAUCUUUCUGGACAGUUUGGCUUCUGUAAGAAUCAAUGCAAUGCCCAUCCAGUAAAUUUAAUCCCUAAUACACGAGUCUUCCAAGAACAUAGGAAACAAGCACAUAUAAUUUCCAACUUUACUGUCUACAUAUUUAUAUCGAUAAGCUUAUGUAUGUAAUUUCUAUCUUUACUAUCUAUAUACUUAUAUCUAGAAACUUGUCUAUAUUAUCUAUGUACACACACAAACACACACACAUAUUAUGAUAAAGGUAAAAUAUGAUAACUGUGACACUCAAGUAAAUAAAUAAUUAAUUUUCUAUUUUAUGAGACAGCUGCAGAAGCAGAUUUAGAGGACUGCAGAGACCAUACGGCCUCACCCAUGCUUCACUUCGCUGUCCUUAAUGCUUCCCCUCUUCCAGACCACAGUCCAUUUACCGUAAUUACUAAGUGACGCUAGUGCUACAAACGAAAAUUCGGUCCUUCCUCUGGAUAGCAUGGUAUUGGAGUCCUAAUUCAAAAUGCAUUUCUAUUUAACGUUAUGCUUCUGUGAGUUUCUAAACUGUCCUGUUCUCAUUUCUGCCUAUGAAGAAUUUCGCCUAGUUAGUGGGAUCUAAUCCUGCAUUUGUUAGAAUAUUUGGUUUGGUUUGAUGCAUUUUCAUGGGGGCUAAACUGAUCAGUCUUUUGUCAGCUACACACAAACCUAGGGGUACAUGGAAAGAAGGGCGUUUCGAUUGAGGAACUGCCUCCCUUGCGUUAGCCUCUGGGCAUGUCUCUGGGGACUUUCUCUAUUGCUAAAUGAUGUUGAAGGCCCACUGUGAGCAGUGCCAUUCCUGGUCCAUGGUCCUGGGUUCAAAAGGAAAUGCGCUGGGCAAGAAGCAAACAAGGGAGCAGCUUUC